rnacentral:RNase_P_RNA from 3 species
UGCUGCAGUUGGUUGCUGUUUAAUAAACAGAGGAAAGUCCAUGCUCGCACAAGCUGUGAUGCUUGUAGUGUUUGUGUAAAUAGAUAAAAAAUAAAAUUUAGCACAUUAGAAUUAGUGUGACGGCGAAACUUUUGCUAAGUUGUUUAUCAAUAUGUAACAAGUUUUAUAACGUGCCACAGAGACGAGUUGAUUUCGAAAGAAUCAAUAUGAAACGCGGUAAACCCCUCAAGCGAGAAACCUAAAUUUGGUAAGGGAACUAAUAAGUAAGAAACAGAAUUACUUAGAAGAAUAAAAUACAUUAUUUUAUUAGAUAAAUAACCAACCUCGACAGAACAUGGCUUAUCGCA